ACCGCUCGUCGCUCUCCACUUCACUCCCAGCCCACGGGAUGUGUCACCUGUUCUGGCGCGCACGUGCCCGCAUAUGCACGCGCACAUGCGCCCAUUGCAAGCCGGUGCGCCAGCGCACUGCCUGCAAUCCUCCCGAAUGCAACUGCCAGCGUCAUCUUCCCCCCCCCCCACCAUCCUCCCCCGCCUUUCCAUUGCCGCACACACCAUCCGCAUUCAAGGUUAUCAUUGACCGUGCACAUUUUAUUGUGAUUUUGUGAGCCCUUCCCGACAGCUGGCCACAGUUUGCUACCACACGAAAAAAAAAAAAAACCUCCUCAGAACCAUUCGCCUAUUGUUACACUGGUGCAUUCAGCUUGGUGUAUAAGUUUCCUUCCUUUCUCGGUUUUCCGAACUGUAUUUUCUUACAUCUACAUGGACAAUAAUAAUAACAAAACAAUUGGGAAUGUUGCCCGUGCAUGCCGAUUUAGCCAGCCUCGCCCAGGCAAGUUCGUUACAGGACCAAACGCCAAAAACAAAGGCUUGAAAUGCACGCAAGCACCUUGAACAGAUCGAUGCGGUGCCUUGGUGCAUGGUGAACUCUGUUACACUGUUUUAGCCAGGGGUACCGGGGGAAAGGUUGUUCGCCCCAAGGGGAGGGUGUUAGCUAAAAAUAAGCAAAUCCAGAUGGACGGCAUUGGCAUCCGUCGGUUUUUCGGUAGGCGAACGUUUGGUGCACAUUUUGACGGUUUCAUUUGUUUCAUUUUCCUUUGUGGCACAUCGCUCUCCUCCUGCUUUGCUUGGCAGUCCCAACUGUGUUGUAAUGUAAUUUUGACCUCGUUUCUGGUUGAGCAUGUGCAGCAUGUGGGUUGAGUAGAAAGGAAAAAAAAUUUACCCAUUUUUUACCCAAAUUUGCAAUCGAAAACCCUUUCAUCUACACUCGUUACAUAAGCGAGCAAUGGGAAGAGGGUGUGAGCAUGUGCAAUUUUUAUUUAUUGAUUGUUUAUACCUUACCCUGCCCUUUGUAUUUGUAGGUAGCGCCUGUACCUUCGGCCAGUUUGAGAGGUAUGUACCAUCUCGGGCACGUUUUCAGGAAGUGAAGUUGAAGUGAUUGUUUUUUUUCACUCUCUCUAGUGCUAAUCAAUAGCAUUGCAUCUAGAUUAGAUUAAAAUCACCCGCCGCUACCACGAAUCAUGCCAUUAUCAUGCCAAGAAAACGACCACAACCAAACUCGAAGCAAAUGUAAGAAGAUUACUGCUGGCUGGCUUGUGGUUUCUCGUAUCAGUUGCAGCGCUGUGCUAUACAAGAUUAGAUAAUGUUAAUUACUGUUACAUAAUGGAGCUCUCUUAGUUUUAUUCCUCUUCUUCUUUUUAGUGAUGGAAGCUAAUACGGCCGGAAGCAAAAUGAAAUCUUUGUGAAGCGAACUCUUACAAGAAUACUUGGCAGUUUGGUGGUACAGAAUGUUUAACAAACCGUUGCUUAGUAUUUUUUGAUAGUCAAUAGUUGUAUUUAAAAUAGUUUAACAGAUGUUGGAAAUAUAACUGUCUAACGUCAGUGUGCUCAUCCCAUUGGCAGUAAUUGCAUCAGAAUAUGAUGCUGCCACUCUCCUCUCCAAUUUUGCUCCAAUUUCAACUCCUCGAUGGUGGGACAGUUCUGCCCCAGCCACGGUUGGCACAAAUCAACCGUAACGGAGCGUUACAGUGCCACACGCUCGCCAACGUUCUAACGGCCGUACCAUCAUCGUGCUCUCCUGUUCUCUCUCGGCAAUAGAUUGAGUGUGCAAUAAUAACUACAAGAACAGAACCUAUAAAACCAAAAUCGCCCUCCGCAACAGCGCCAACGAUAACGAACCCCGUAGAGGAAGAAAAAAACAACACUAAUGCCACACACACACACACACAUACACAGUGCCGAAACAACUCGCUCGCUCAAAGACAGUGUGUGCCCCAAAGUGCACCACCAUCGAGCGAAACCAGAAUUGAACCAGGGACCGAACGGGCGGGAGAGCGUUAUACAGUGUGCGAGCAGCAGCAGCAGCAGCAGCAAGUGUGGAAGUGGGUCGCUAAUAAAUAUGACAGAGGGAAAAUUCAAGUUCACUGUCAAGGUCGUGCGCGGUACGCAGGCGCGCCCAGCCGCGCUCGGGAACAUCGCAUUGCAGGAGCGCGCGAAACGGGCGAAACGUAGCGGUGGGACGAACCCCACCCCAAACGGGUAACAUAACGGGUGGAGCGCGGGGUGUACGCGGGGAAUUCGGGCAUGUAGGGAAGGAAAGGAGGAUGGAAUAUAUAAAACGCACACCACCACCACCACCGGUACAAGGGGCACACACAUCAACGAACAACAAUCACGUCGAACGGAGAUUACCACAGGCGGGUGCCAAAAAAGAAAUAAGAAACUUAAAUGCAAAAAAAAAAACAAAAAAAGACCCCUGGUAUCUUGGAGCGGAAAUCACUGGCAGCGGGCCGCGGUCGCAAACCGCAGGUUGCGUCAAACACAAUGAGAGACGGAAAGAGAACGGGCAAAGAGCGAAAGAGCGAAAGAGAGCGAGAAGGAGCGGGAUACAAUAUAACAACCAUCAGAGCCGCAGCAACGCGUGUGCCCGUCCUGUGGGAAUGGGAAGACAUCUUGGAAUCGAUCUACUCGAUCAUGACGCACCCCGUUUAUAUCGUGCCUGUGUGUGUGUCUAGCGGAUUGUGCAAUUCUCUGGCACGAUCACACAUGCGAACGGACCCCGGCACACUUCCAAUUAUGGGCAAAAUUCUAGGAACGCUCUAUAGACGUGCGAAUAACGCCCGAAUCCACCAUUUGCUGCCGUUCACAUUGAUUGCCGCCCAAGAUGGCACACCUACGCCUCCUCUUCGCUCCACCCCUUCUUGCUUAUCGCCAAUAGAAGGGUGAGUUAGAAACUAAUUAGGGCAGAUAUAUAUUUAUAUUAUUGUAGCGUUGGGAGAUAAAAAGAUAUAAAAUGUCCCUCUACCUUCUCUACCCCUUGCUAAUGACUCCAUCAGCGCACCCGAGUAGGAACUCCGCGGGGGUCCGUUGGUGUUCGUCCACCAAACGGCGAACCGCGAAUGUUUACACAACAUCAGUAUGAUGGAUGCAGUUUUAUGGGCGCAUUUUUCCGCAUCCGUCCUCUACCCUGCUUUUGUCUGCUCCGCUGCUCGCGCUACUCCUGCCGCUUCCCCUCGUGUUCUUCCCCGAUGAUAGCCUCCGAUGCCGGAGUUAGCAUAGGUCAUGGGCAUGGAAAUCGGAACCAGCUGUCAAACUGUGGUACGGAAAUGCCACGCCGAACGCGCAUUGGCGGGCGGGACGCGUUUUGCACAGUCCGCAGGCCACAUCUUGAAUGCAACCGAACCCCCUUCCCCAGCCGAUGGGGGGAUGACAUCAUCGCGCGUGUCGGUUCACACGUUGCGUUGUUUUAUGGCUAAAUAUUGGCCCAACGGAAUCGGCGAGGCAGGCGCACCCGGAACGAACUGGUGCCGAGGGCUACAGGGUAGCUGUUAUUAGUCGAAUGCAUUGAGUUCGGUAUAGAAUAUUUCUGUAGAAGUAAUUUAAAUUACUAUACGGGUUAGUGGAACUGAACUAAAACACUGAAAAACAGAGCAUCUUUAUUGAAGGAAAAAAUAUAUAUCGCACACAACUUAACACACACUGUAGGAGCGAAAACGUUUCUUGUGUUUCAUCAAUUCCCUCUUUUCGGGAAUGAUGAAACACACACAAACACCUCUCCAAGCAGGCUGGCUCCAUUUGGCAUCUCAUUCUAUCUUUCUACCCUCUCUAUCAUUUACUAUCCAUGGCCUGGCUAUCCGAAAAGGGCUCCUUCCAGCCCACCAGCACCACAACCGCAGAAACGGAACCCAAUCCGGGCUGGCAAUUCGUCAACCGAGAGCCAACAACAAAACAACAACAAACAACCGCGUGCGUGACGUGUGUGCGUAUGUGUGUGUGUGUGUCAGAGAGUGGGUGAGCCACCCAUUCCCCCCGGUUCCGUAUGUAUUUGUGCGUACGCGCGUGUUUGUGUGUGGGCCCGUGUCGUUGCGACGCAUUAGAACGCAAAUUGGAAAUCAAUUUUUCGGGAGCCCGUGCGCGUCCUCGGUGGCAGUGCUGUGCAGCCAUCUUCAUUAUCGUCGUGGCUGCCGAACGGUGUGGCAGCGAGCGAUCGAGCGAAAGGCACAAAUCGCAAACGGCAGCCACUUUUCCGGUGGAAGGAAACCACCGAAAGGGUUUGUUCCAGUAGCGGCAACGCUUGGAGCGACAAAGCGCGACCAGGAAUGGUCUGGAAUUUUCCACAGUUGUUAGACCGAACACACGGCCCCACCCCCGUAGCAAGCACAUUGAGUGUGUGUGUGUGUGUGAGUGUGUUUAAUUGCAUUAAAAAAAAAAGACAAAACAAUGCACACACUACAAUCGAACGGAAAAGCGAACGCUAAUUAGUGUCUGUGAGUGUACGCAUGUGUAUGUGUGUGUACGUUUGUGUUGUGACGUUUGUAGCAAAUUCUGAAUCACAUUAGACAAAAACAGCAAAAAAGGGGCAUUUUUCUUCAUCAGCGCCAACUUCGAUAAGGUUGAUGAAAAGCGCAAUCGAUGGCAGCGCUUGUGAGGGAGAAAUGCGAAAAAAAUAAUAAACACAAAAACACUCACACACACAGCAUCCUCUUCUACCCCUUCCCCUCAACCCUCUAGCAUCGUAGUAUGCCCGGCAGUGCGCGCGUCGUGUGCCAGCAAACGUCGGUCGUCGUCGCUGACGGGAAUGUCAAGAAAUUGCGUUGUACGAAAAGUGUGCAAAUUCCCUCGGGAACCUCGGGAACUGGGGGGCGGAGGUAAGAGGAGGAAAGCGGGGGGAGAAGGGGUGGCGCGUUAGGCAGAGUGUGUUAUAUGCCGGUACACGCGGGUGGGGCUGUGUGCGAUGAUCACACAGAAUGAUGCUGUCGAUGUGUUGGUGAUGAAAUGGGACGGUUCUUCGUGUGUGUAUGUGCUUGUGUGUGUGUGUCUGUAUGCGCGUUCGUUAUCCGUGUUGGACCCGGGCUUGGAGUAGGGAUUGGAUGUUGUUUGUUUUGUUCCCGCACUCAACCAUCGUCAGCCGAAUGGAGCAGAAGCGCCGUGGCCCUAGUAGCAGCAGCAGCAGAAGGUUGUCGCUCGCCUGCCGGGUUCACCUGUGCGCGGUUGCUGUGUGGUGUUGGCUGCUGCUGCUGAGUGAACACGCCAAUUAGUCGACCGACGUACGCCGGACGUGCGUGGCUACACUGGAGCCAAACAUUAGCUCUCAAGCGAUUAACCGUGUGUGUGUGGGUGAAGUGUAUUUUUACUUUUUUUUCUGUGCUUUGUUAAAUUAAAAAAUGCUUCGUGUGUGACGUUAUUUCGAGCUGUAUUAUCGAUGAAACUCCCCUGUCGCUGCCUACAUGUGUGUGUGUGUUGUGCCAGUGUGCUUUAAAUGGAGAAAAAUGCGCUCUAAAAACAGGUGAAUUUAAACAAAACAAAAAUUUGGUGCAAAGAAGUGCAAAAUACUCAAAAUACCCAUUAGAAUUCUGUGGAAUGUGGUGUAGCGUGUUAUAAAACUGCACCUCUUCCCAUGUAACGAUGCCGUGUGCGUUUCGAUGUGCAACAAAAGAAAGGAACACAAUUUCAUCGCUCGAUUGAAAUCGAAAGCCAACAGCAGUGCGCAUAGGUAAAGGACGGUUCAUAUCGAUCGAUUUCAUAUCACCUGAUCCCGGUCCUUCACACGGUGUGCGAGAGGAUGCACAAAAAUGCACCACCACACCGACGACCGACUGCACUUCUCGCUGGUUCAGCUACGCAUUGGAAAAAGGGAAAGCUCCCAGUUGCCGUUGUUGCUGCUCGCUCUGGCGUUACUGAUGGGCAUAGAGCGACGAGUGUGAGCGAGAGUGAUUGUACAAAAACACAACCAAACGAGCAGAGACAGGAUGGAGGCGAAUAAAUUUCGCUAACAUCAAAAAAUCAUUUUGGCACUCUUCCCGCGGCGCUAAAGGUGAAAAUGAGCCAACGAAACAAUUGCACCACACACAAACACUUGCAAACCCCAUGUGCCAACGUUUACACGUUGGUUAGCACAGCGCACCACCAACACUGUGAACACGGGCAAUGGGGACGCAAAAAGUGGCAAGCAUUGAAAACAAAAAAAAAAAACAUCCAUAGAAGUAGGCCACCGCGAAGAAGUCCGACAUAAAGCGAAUACCAUCCGGACAGUGCUCGCUGAGGGAGAGCAUCCGACCUCCGAAAGGCGAAUCGCCCCUGGAGAGAUAGAGAGAGUCAGUAUGUGGUAAUAAUACACACAGACACACAUACUGGGCAGCAAAUUGCAAAUACCUUGAACUUGUAACGGAAGCGACCGAUCAAUGGUGCACCCUGAAGAGAUGGCAACACCAGUCGGGGUGGAGCGGAGCUCUGCCCAGUGAACAUCGCCCCAAGCACUGACAUCUCACGCUACCCCUAGGGAUGAAAGCGAAAGACAUUCGCGAAAGCAUAACCCUGUACGCGUUCCGUGCGAGGGAGCGAGCGAGUCGACUGGUUUCGCACAGAUGGCGGGAUUUCUGGGUGCCUAAGCGCAAGAAGAGACCACAAGACGAACGGCUGGGGCAGUAACAGCUGCUACACUCUGCCCGAUCCACCCCAUCCAACCGACACCCGUCGCAUAUAAGGGGGUUGAAACAAAAAAGAAAAGAAA